rnacentral:rRNA from 1 species
ACACAUGCAAGUCGAACGAGGAGCGGAGUGCUUGCACUCUGUAUCCGAGUGGCGAACGGGUGAGUAACACGUGACCAACCUGUCUUCAGGUGAGGGACAACCUGGGGAAACCCGGGCUAAUACCGCAUGACGUCUCUGUCUCGCAUGGGACGAAGACCAAAGGGGGCCUCUGCUUGCAAGCUCCCACCUGAUGAGGGGGUCGCGGCGUAUCAGCUAGUUGGUGAGGUAACGGCUCACCAAGGCAAUGACGCGUAGCGGGUCUGAGAGGACGAUCCGCCACAUUGGGACUGAGAUACGGCCCAGACUCCUACGGGAGGCAGCAGUGGGGAAUAUUGCGCAAUGGCCGCAAGGCUGACGCAGCGACGCCGCGUGUGGGAGGAAGCCUUUCGGGGUGUAAACCACUGUCAGGGGGAAAGAACAUCGGGCAUCCGAAUAGGGUGUCCGUUUGACGGUACCUCCAAAGGAAGCGCCGGCUAACUCCGUGCCAGCAGCCGCGGUAAGACGGAGGGCGCAAGCGUUGUUCGGAAUUACUGGGCGUAAAGCGCACGCAGGCGGUUCGCUAAGUCCUUCGUGAAAGCCCGGAGCUCAACUCCGGAACUGCGUAGGAUACUGGCGAACUAAAGACUGGUAGAGGCUAGCGGAAUUCCUGGUGUAGCGGUGGAAUGCGUAAAUAUCAGGAAGAACACCUGUGGCGAAGGCGGCUANCUGGGCCAGUUCUGAC